rnacentral:lncRNA from 1 species
AGUUUUGUAAUAUGUAUAAAAGAAUCAAAAGAUGUCUAAUGUAUAAAGGAUUACAUGUAGUUGGAGAGACCCAAAUAUCCGUUGUCAAAGAUACUCGUUGAAUGUUACACAAAAACUAUUUUUUGAGUGCAUCUUUCCUUUCCACACACAUUUUGAUAAUGUCUUUAGUUGCAGUUCUUCUUGAAUGAGGAGUGUACCCAAAGUUUGCUUACAAACAUAGAAAGAGAAGACAUUGGUUACAAUUAAACAUGAAAUUAAGACAUUAGUUACAAGUUAUAAACUACUAACCUUGUCAUAGAAAUGUUACCAUGCUACACUUUCAACAAAUGAUAACGGCAAUUACACUUUCAACAAAUGAUAACGGCAAUUAUCCCGUUUGAUUUUGAUGUCUCUUUGAUUUUGAUUUAUGAAUAUAUGGAUUCUUUACCAUUUUCUAUUCAAGAUAAUACAAAUAGAAAUUACACGAAGAAAAUGAAUACAGACUCGUGUUCCUCAACGUAAUAACAAAUUAGAAAGAUCAUAAAUCUUAUAUUAAGUUGUUCAAUCUUCUAACUUCAACAAUAUUGUUUCUGGUCUCACAAAGUCAAAUCAAGGAUACAUAGAGUUUUUUUUAUUUGUUACACAGUUCGGUUUUACCCGAAAUAACCCGAACCCGAUCCGAAGUAUAAAAGAACCCAAACGGGUUAUGUACCUCUUCAUCCGAAAACCCGAAAACCCGAAGCACCCGACCCGAACGGAUACCCGAACGCCCAUGCCUAAUGAUUACGAACCAAAACAAUAACCGAUUUUACUUAAUUCAGCAAGGAACUAAUGAAGAAGAAGAACCAAGAACAAGAACAAGAAUCGAAGAAAGAGAGAGAAUACAUGUGAUUGGAUUCUUAAAUGCUCAGGUGAAGAAGAAGAUUGAGAGGCUAAGUGAUUUAUAGUGACCAGCUUGAGUUUGUGAAUGAUGAUGAUCAAUAACCGAGAGAAAAUUAUUUUGGGAACUAGAGUUCAUCGGCUCACGCGUUAAAUAAACGAAGAGGCUGUUUGUAAAGUGUGUAUAUGUGU